AGGCGGUUCUUGGAGGGAAGAAGAUGGCGGCCAAAAGGGGGCGUGGCUACGAAAAGCCCCGCCCCUCGUUGCUGGCGGCCAUUUUCUUCCUUUGUAUCCAGGCAACGUGGCCAAAUUCAUACUGCUCCCUUUCAUGGUAUUGAUGGUGCCUUUUCCUCCUUCUCUUUUUAAGCUUUAUAUAGUCUCCAAGAUGAAGGCAACCAAAAGCAAUGACAGCUCUAAAUGCAUUUAUGCAGACUGCUAAAAACGAGCAGUAGGAAAAAAUUUAAAGAUUCUGCUGGAAGCUUAUAUUAUGGGCAUUAAAGAGCAAAACAAUGAC
rnacentral:lncRNA from 11 species